UACGAAGGGGGCUAGCGUUGUUCGGAAUUACUGGGCGUAAAGCGCGCGCAGGCGGCUAUCCAAGUCAGUGGUGAAAGCCCGGAGCUCAACUCCGGAACUGCCAUUGAAACUGUUUAGCUUGAGGACGAGAGAGGUGAGUGGAAUUCCCAGUGUAGAGGUGAAAUUCGUAGAUAUUGGGAAGAACACCGGUGGCGAAGGCGGGUCCCUGGACAACACCUGACACUGAGGCACGAAAGCUAGGGGAGCAAACAGG
rnacentral:rRNA from 1 species